GCCAAGGACCCCUUAAAGACUCUGGAGAUGGCUCCGCGCCGUCCCCUAGGUCCAGAGCGGCACGAGAACACCCUUUAGCACUUAGCCCCGGAAGUGUGUUAAGCGCGCGGGAGCAGUCCACAGUGGGGAGAGCCGAGGUGCAGAACGCAGAGAGGGGCUGUGCAGGGCUGAGAGACCGCGGAGACCUAGAACUGAAGAAGCGCCCCCGGGUCUUUUCCGUGCCUGUGGCUGAGGUUUCAUCAGUUAAGCCUUUGGUUUACUUGAGGAAUGGGCUAGUCUUUUCUGGACACAUCACGCAGCUAUGUGGGGGAGGUGCCUACUGGCAGCCCCACCAUCGAACGGGUCAGUCCCCACGGUCCCAGCCCUGCGACGCUCCAGCUUCGCCCCCUGAGAUCUGCAAGAGACGGGCCACCCACGUGACUCAAAUCCCGCCUUCCGGAGAACGAGACGCCCGGGAGACGGAGAGGUACCAGCCAGCCAUCCUUCCAGAGGCCACCAGGCUGUGACUCUGCA